GAAUUCGAUUCAGGCCUAACACAUGCAAGUCGUACGGGAGUUUUUAACUCUAGUGGCGGACGGGUGAGUAACACGUGAGAAUUUGCCUUUAGGAGGGGGAUAACAAUUGGAAACGAAUGCUAAUACCCCAUAUGCUUUUGAGUGAGAUGGAUUUAUCCGCCUAAAGAGAAGCUCGCGGCUGAUUAGCUUGUUGGUAAGGUAAGAGCUUACCAAGGCGACGAUAAGUAUCUGGUUUGAGAGGGGGGUCAGACACACUGGAACUGAGACACGGUCCAGACUCCUACGGGAGGCAGCAGUGGGGAAUUUUC
rnacentral:rRNA from 1 species